rnacentral:rRNA from 1 species
CGCAUCUGUGCAUGCAGCAUAUCAAUAAGCGGAGGAAAAGAAACUAACAAGGAUUCCCCUAGUAACGGCGAGUGAAGCGGGAAGAGCUCAAAUUUGGAAUCUUAAAGGGUUUCCCUUUACGAAUUGUAGUUUAAAGAAGUGUUUUCUGUUGAGGUUUUGGUAAAAGUUCUUUGGAAUAGGACAUCAUAGAGGGUGAGAAUCCCGUAUUUGACCUUUACUUUCAACUUUGUGAUACACUUUCAAAGAGUCGGAUUGUUUGGGAAUGCAGUCCAAAAUGGGUGGUAAAUUUCAUCUAAAGCUAAAUAUUGGCGAGAGACCGAUAGCGAACAAGUACCGUGAGGGAAAGAUGAAAAGAACUUUGAAAAGAGAGUUAAACAGUACGUGAAAUUGUCAAAAGGGAAGCGUUUGACACCAGUGUUGUUUUUCUGAAAAUCAAUUAAAGAACUGUUUAUGCUAAGUUGUUUAGACUUUAUCAGCUAACUGUUUAGUUUUGAGCUUUUCUUUAAUGCACUUUUCAGUUAACAAGUCAACAUCAAUUUCUUUUGCUGUAAAAAAGCUUGAGGAAGGUGGCUUGAGAUUCGUCUUAAGUGUUUAUAGCCUCUUGCCUAUGCAGUCGGAGAGAUUGAGGUCUGCAGCGUAGAUCCUUCGGGGCUAAAUGCAUUUGUGCUAAGUUAUAGCAUUUUAUAGACAACUUGUUGACUAUGAUUUGUCUUGUAGCUUACUCGCUUAUGUUAUUUUACCUACGCUUAGGAUGUUGACAGCAGUAUAGACUGU